rnacentral:rRNA from 1 species
GAUGAACGCUGGCGGCGUGCCUAAUACAUGCAAGUCGAGCGAACAGACGAGGAGCUUGCUCCUCUGACGUUAGCGGCGGACGGGUGAGUAACACGUGGAUAACCUACCUAUAAGACUGGGAUAACUUCGGGAAACCGGAGCUAAUACCGGAUAAUAUAUUGAACCGCAUGGUUCAAUAGUGAAAGACGGCUUUGCGGUCACUUAUAGAUGGAUCCGCGCCGCAUUAGCUAGUUGGGAAGGUAACGGCUUACCAAGGCAACGAUGCGUAGCCGACCUGAGAGGGGGAUCGGCGACACUAGAGGUGGAACAGGGUCCAGGCUACUACGGGAGGCACCAGAAGGGAAUCGUCCGCAAUGGUCGAAAGCCUGACGGAACAACGCCGCGUGAGUGACGAAAGUCUUCGGAUCGUAAAACUCUGUUAUUAGUGAAAAACAAAUGUGUAAGUAACUAUGCACGUCUUGACGGUACCUAAUCAGAAAGCCACGGCUAACUACGUG